UAGAAUCACCUUUUGAAAUUGAAGAUUGUAUUCUCUUGAAAAGAGAAAUGAUCUCUUCCUGGUUCAAUGAAUUUGGCAAUUUACUGUCGGGGGAUGGCUGUAUAUUGAGCUCACUACCUUUGGAUGUUUUCCCUGGUGUAGCAUCUUUUGAAGACUUUCGUCGCCUGAUCCCAUCAGCUCUUAUGGUGGAGAGAGUUGAACAAUGAAAAUCCCUACGAUUUGUACUCAACGAAAGCCCAUAUGUAAUCUCUUUUGGUAUUCGGAUCCCCAAGUUGGGUUUACAUAAAGCAGAGAAGGAGGGCAAUUGAGAUAUGGAAUUUGAAGAGAAA
rnacentral:misc_RNA from 1 species